rnacentral:rRNA from 1 species
UACGUAGGGGGCGAGCGUUGUCCGGAAUUACUGGGCGUAAAGGGCGCGCAGGCGGCCGAUCAAGUUAGAUGUGAAAUACCCGGGCUUAACCUGGGAACUGCAUUUAAAACUGGUUGGCUAGGAGUGCAGGAGAGGGAAGCGGAAUUCCUAGUGUAGCGGUGAAAUGCGUAGAUAUUAGGAGGAACACCAGUGGCGAAGGCGGCUUUCUGGACUGUAACUGACGCUGAGGCGCGAAAGCGUGGGGAGCGAACAGGAUUAGAUACCCUGGUAGUCCACGCUGUAAACGAUGAAUACUAGGUGUAGGGGGUAUCGACCCCCCCUGUGCCGGAGCAAACGCAAUAAGUAUUCCGCCUGGGGAGUACGGCCGCAAGGUUGAA